GCAACUUACCUAUCAGAGGGGGAUAGCCCGGCGAAAGUCGGACUAAUACCCCAUAAAACAGGGGUCCCGCAUGGGAAUAUUUGUUAAAGAUUCAUCGCUGAUAGAUAGGCAUGCGUUCCAUUAGGCAGUUGGCGGGGUAACGGCCCACCAAACCGACGAUGGAUAGGGGUUCUGAGAGGAAGGUCC
rnacentral:rRNA from 1 species